rnacentral:rRNA from 1 species
UACGAAGGGGGCUAGCGUUGCUCGGAAUGACUGGGCGUAAAGGGCGCGUAGGCGGUGCCACAAGUCACCUGUGAAAUCUCUGGGCUUAACUCAGAGCUUGCAGGCGAAAACUGUGGUGCUGGAGUAUGGGAGAGGUGCGUGGAAUUCCCGGUGUAGCGGUGAAAUGCGUAGAUAUCAAGAGGAACACCAGUGGCGAAGGCGAGUCCCUGGACAAACCCUGACACUGAGGCACGAAAGCCAAGGGAGCAAACAGG